rnacentral:misc_RNA from 1 species
GAUGAAGAACGCAGCGAAAUGCGAUAGGUAGUGUGAAUUGCAGAUGUAACGUGAAUCAUCGAAUCUUUGAACGCAAAUUGCAUUCCCUGGUAUUCCGGGGAGUAUGCCUGUUUGAGGGUCGCCAAAUACACAUCGAUUAACAUUGCUUUUGAAGUAAAUGUUUAUCGGAUUUGAGCUUUCUUUAUUCUUAAAAUGACAAGGAUAAAGUGGUUUAAAAUUUAUUUUUUUUUGGUAUCAAGCGUAUUUUACAAUCAAUUUUUGAUUAAAAAAGAACGUUUCGAAUGCCAUCCUUUUAAUGUAAUACGUUUGACUAUAUGUAAUAAAUAUGCAGUUCAUUCGCAUACGAUUCAUAAAUUUUUUUUUUUGACCUCAAAUCAGGUAAGAGUACCCGCUGAACUUAAGCAUAUCAAUAAGCGGAGGA